CGUGUAGGCGGGAUUGCAAGUCAGAUGUGAAAACUCGGGGCUCAACCUCGAGCCUGCAUUUGAAACUGUAGUUCUUGAGUGUCGGAGAGGUAAUCGGAAUUCCGUGUGUAGCGGUGAAAUGCGUAGAUAUACGGAGGAACACCAGUGGCGAAGGCGGAUUACUGGACGAUAACUGACGCUGAGGCGCGAAAGCGUGGGGAGCAAACA
rnacentral:rRNA from 1 species